rnacentral:rRNA from 1 species
ACAACAGACUCGGUGAAAUUGUAAUUCCGGUGAAGAUGCCGGAUACCUGCGACAGGACGGAAAGACCCCAUGGAGCUUUACUGUAGCUUGACAUUGGGUCUUGGUACUACAUGUACAGGAUAGGUGGGAGGCUUUGAAACCAGGACGCCAGUUUUGGCGGAGCCAUCCUUGGGAUACCACCCUUGUAGUACUGGGACUCUAACCAUAGGCCAUGAAUCUGGUCUUGGGACACUGUCAGGUGGGCAGUUUGACUGGGGCGGUCGCCUCCCAAAAGGUAACGGAGGCGCUCAAAGGUUCUCUCAGUACGGUCGGAAAUCGUACGUAGAGUGUAAAGGCAAAAGAGAGCUUGAUUGCAAGACAUACAGGUCGAGCAAGGAUGAAAAUCGGACUUAGUGAUCCGGUGGUUCUGCGUGGAAGGGCCAUCGCUCAACGGAUAAAAGCUACCCUGGGGAUAACAGGCUUAUCUCCCCCAAGAGUCCACAUCGACGGGGAGGUUUGGCACCUCGAUGUCGGCUCAUCACAUCCUGGGGCUGUAGUAGGUCCCAAGGGUUGGGCUGUUCGCCCAUUAAAGUGGUACGCGAGCUGGGUUCAGAACGUCGUGAGACAGUUCGGUCCCUAUCCGUCGCAGGCGUAGGAAAUUUGAGAAGACCUGUCCUUAGUACGAGAGGACCGGGAUGGACGUACCUCUGGUGUACCAGUUGUCCUGCCAAGGGCAUGGCUGGGUAGCUAUGUACGGAAUGGAUAAGCGCUGAAAGCAUCUAAGCGCGAAGCCAACUUCAAGAUAAGAUUUCCCACCGCAAGGGUAAGACCCCAGAAAGACUAUCUGGUUGAUAGGUCGAAGGUGUAAGUGCAGCAAUGUAUUUAGCUUAUCGAUACUAAUAGGUCGAGGACUUGACCAAU